AUGGUUCGUAAUGCUCAAAAAGAGAAGUUGAUUACUGGGCUGGCACCUGACCUCAUUGAAGAUGGGGUGGCAAUCCUCCAGUAUGCUGAUGAUAUAGUAAUUUGUUUUGAACAUAAUGAGGAGGCCGCUGUUAAUCUGAAACUUCUCCUUUAUAUGUUCGAGCAUAUGCUGGGGCUCAAAAUUAAUUUCCUGAAAAGUGAGAUACUUUGCAUUGGGGGGGGCAAUGAUACUUUGAGCUUUUAUGCUAAGCUUUUUAAUUGCCAAAUAGGUCACUUCCCAAUGAAAUAUCUGGGAGUGCCAGUCAGUUACUCGACUCUUCGCGGCCUACAUUGGAUCUUUGUGGAUGAUAGAUUCUUGAAAUGUUGUGACUCUUGGAUUGGUAAUUCGGCCUCCUCUGGUGGGAGACUAAUCCUCCUUAACUCAUCCCUUACCAGCACUAUAUACUUCUAUAUGUUCAUGUUUCUGAUUCCUAAGAUGAUUAUCGACAAAUUAGAUAAACACGGGAAACAUUUCUUUUGGCAAGAACAUGAAGGGCGCAAAAGAUACCAUUUGGUGAAGUGGUCUAGGAUCUGUAGAUCCAAGAAUAAAGGGGCGCUGGGGGUGAAAGACCUUCGUAAACAAAAUAUUAGCUUGCUCACCAACUGGUGGUGGAAGCUUGAGACACAACAUGGUCUGUGGCAAGAUGUUGUAAGAGCCAAAUACUUCAAAAAGGACACCGUUGCCUAA
rnacentral:rRNA from 1 species